ensembl:rRNA 5S_rRNA 5S ribosomal RNA
GUUUACGCCCAUACCACCCUGAAUGUGCCCGAUCUUGUCUGAUCUUGGAAGCUAAGCAGGGUCGUCAGGCCUGGUUAGUACUUGGAUGAGAGACCAACUAGGAAUACCAGGUGCUAUAGGUG